CAGACCAAACAUGAAGCUGCUGCUUAUUAUUCUGUGCGUUGCAUUGGUUGCUGCUGCUCCAAAAGCUAAAUCACACUCGAAGCGAUUGUCGUGUCAACUUGGCCUGUGUGACAGCAGUUGUUUCUUCCAAG